UCGCCUGUGCCUGGCCUGGCUCGCCUCGUGGCGUGGGGGCGAAAAGGGACAGGCGGCGGAGCGCUUACCGGCCGUGGACAGCAGCUGCCCUAAGGGAAGCUGGAAUGGCCAGAGAAAGGUGAAGAAGAAGAAGAAGAAGAUGGAAGGCUCUCCGGCCGGCAGCUGCCUCCCGCUGCAGGCAAGAGAGCGCCUGCCUCGCCGGGCGGAGGACAGCCGAGCGACCGGAGUGACAGCAAAGGAAAGGCGGAGAGCGGGAGAAAGAAGCGUCUGCGCUGGCAAGCUCUCCCGGCAGCGCCGAGAGCCAGAGCUGCGGUGCUGCUGCGCCGAUGCUCCGUACGUUCGCAGUAACGGGUAGAGCGGAAGGCUCCGUGGCCAGGGAAGAGCGGCACGGACACGUUCCUGCUCGCUCCGUUGCACCGGAAUUUCGACGGCUGGGUUCGGCCGCUAAAUUGAUGGCGCUACCGGAAGAAAUUUCAGAAAAAAAGGGUGGCUUUUUCGUCGAUCUCUUUGUGAGAGUAUCAAAUCAGGCGGCGGUAAAUACGUAGAAGCAACUAGGCGUACUACGGCGUGUACCGGACAGCGUUGGCGUGCCGCUCUGCUAGCAGCGGAGAGCCAGAUGAGGAUGCCCGUGGUAAGUA